rnacentral:rRNA from 1 species
GACGAACGCUGGCGGCGUGCUUAACACAUGCAAGUCGAGCGGUAAGGCCCUUUCGGGGGUACACGAGCGGCGAACGGGUGAGUAACACGUGGGUGACCUGCCCUCAGCUCUGGGAUAAGCCUGGGAAACCGGGUCUAAUACCGGAUAUGACUCCAUGACGCAUGUUGUGGGGUGGAAAGCCUUGUGCGGCUGAGGGUGGGCCCGCGGCCUAUCAGCUUGUUGGGUGGGGUGAUGGCCACCAAGGCGACGACGGGUAGCCGGCCUGAGAGGGCGACCGGCCACACUGACACUGACAUACGGGUCAGACUCCUACGGGAGGCAGCAGUCGGGAAUUUUGGCAAUGGGCGAAAGCCUGACCCAGCAACGCCGCGUGAAGGAUGAAAUCCCUCGGGAUGUAAACUUACGCAAGAACGGGAAGAAUAAGCGAGAGUUAAUAUCUCUCGUGAU